rnacentral:rRNA from 1 species
ACAUAUGGCCACAAGCGCUAGAAUACAGACGAUCCCGUCCGCUCUCGUGUACUUAAGCUGGCGACUGGUGGAUUAGUAUUGCGGUCGGUGACGACGCGAGAAUACCCGCUGCUGUAUGUU